ACGUAUAAAUUGUUUCUACUUUUAUAAUUAGCAUCUCGUUUGACAAACAGUAAUCAUUGAAAACCACACAAUACUUCAUCUUAUAUGCAGGUGCGAUUGACCACCAUCGUAACAGCCAACCCUGCACAGCGAAUAUGCUCAAAGAAAAAUAAGUUAACUUUCUUUUACUUUUUAAUUUACUAAGAUUAUGGAUUGCAAGGUUUCUAGCUUGUUGCAAUCGGUAUGAAUAGCCAAAAACUAUUAAGAAUUCAUACAAACCGAUCUAUUUUCGCCGAAUACUAUAAACGCUAC